AAAAACAAAUAUAAUAAUUAAUUAAAUGAUAAAAAUAAAUGAUUUUGGAGAAUAUGACUUGUUAUAUCUAUUUAUUUAAUCUUAAUAAGAAUUUACUUAAUGGAUUAAUAAUAAUCAAAUAAAUUAAAAAUUAAAAUAAAUUUAAUAUAUAACAAAAGAAAAAGAAAAAGAAAAAAACUAAUAGAAAAUAUUUUUUAGAAAUUAUCAAUUUAUUUUUUCAAUAAUGUAAAUGUAAUUUAAAUCAAACAAGAGUAAAU
rnacentral:lncRNA from 1 species